rnacentral:snRNA from 1 species
GGUUGUGAGCNGCNAUGUGGUUGCUGGGAAUUGAACUCAAGACCUCGGGAAGAGCAGUCUGGAUUCUUAACCGCUGAGCCACCUCUCGUGUCCCCUUCCUCCCUCACCGCUCCAUGUGCGUCCCUCCCGAAGCUGCGUGCUCGGUNGAAGAGGACGACCUUCCCAGAAUAGAGGAGGACCGGUCUUCGGUCAAGGGUAUAUGAGUAGCUGCGCUCCCCUGCUAGAACCUCCAAACAAGCUCUCACGGAUACACUAUUUUUCAUCCUCACAUAGGACACUGGGUUGCAAUGCUCACACAUCUUUGCGAACACUACUUAGUUCCUGAGGCUUUGGGGUGGAUUUUUUU